UAUAACAAUGAACGAUAAUUGUUAAACAAUUACGGGGUUAAAUCGGCGUGAAAUUGUCAUUUCGAGGUGCGGGAGUCGUUUGCGUAAGGGCCCCCUCGUCGCACUUGCCGCGGCACAAAUUUAAAUCGCUCGCACCUCAAAACACCUUCGCGAAUAAGCGCCGCAGUUUGCGCACAAUGAAGCUUAAAAUGAAGGGGUAGCAUGCGAUAAUUGCAAAUAAAAGGCGAAUGGGAAAUUAAGUCCGCCAUCUUUUAAACUGCCAUGAAGUUACUUCCACUUCCAGAAUUCAAAUUCUUUCCAAAAGUUGCGAUCGCCUAAAUUGUUUAAAUGAAUUUUUUUAGUUGAAUUUGUCAAUUUUUACUGCGAAUUUUGAAAUUUUGACGAAUGUUUAUUGCUAAACGUUUACCCACUCGAUUUACAUUUUUCAAAUAAUCGUUAGGGGUAAAUCAAACAUGGCGCAAGUAAACAUUGUACAGGGGUUUUCCAGCGCUUUCUGGACCCCCCUUCUAGAGAAAUGGAAAGCCGUCGAUAUUUUAGUACUUCCUGAAACUGCUUGAACACCUAAAGAGCUGUGGAAAGCACUAUAAGGCAAUCUGAUUUCCAGAAAAGGACCUUGGCUUCACAACUCCUUGCCACAGCCUUUUCAGCGCUGUUUAGACACUUCCCAGAACUAUUUAGACACCGCUAUUACAGGCUGUGUUCAGACUAAUCGAGGGCAUUCUUCACCCAGACAAAGACUAUCUCUAUGACACAGACCAGGGGGCCGAUUCUAACUGAUUUCGACGGUUGAAAUUUCAGUAGUUGCGUCGAAAUUGCGAUCGUAACCAUCUAUCGGUGUUAUCAUGAACUACUAAUAUACGUCAUUGAAACGUCAUAACUUCU